rnacentral:lncRNA from 13 species
AGAGCACACAUGCUGCAGUAUCACGAGGCCCAUGAAGUGACUAGGCUGAGCCAACCACCCAGGAUGAGAGCCAAUGCCAACUCCUGUCUGUGCUGUGAGCUCCUUGCACAUGGUCAGUGCUGAGAUCCAUCAGCUCUGGGAAAAUUUCAGAGUAGGAGGGAGCAGCACUCCACGCAGAGGAAGGGGUUCCUGAAAACACUGGAUGCAAGAACAUUCCCCAUGAAGUCACAGCGUGUGAGUUUGCUGAGAACGAUGGUUUCCAGACUCAUCCAAGUCCCGACAAAGGACACGAACUCAUCGUUUUUUUAUGGCUGCAUAGUAUUCCAUGGUGUGUAUGUGCCACAUUGUCCCUGUCCAGUCUAUCAUUGAUGGGCAUUUGGGUUGGUUCCAG